UCCAUUCCUUCUGCCAUCUAAUCAAUAUCAUGCUUACUAUUUAGAAGUCCUUAAGAAAGCUAAAGAGUCUAAGCUACCCGGCAAGGCCUCUGUUUCUAAGAAGCAUGAUUCAGUGGGGCAUGGGGUGGACAAGAAAACUGCUUCUUCAAAAGAAGGUGAUACUCUCUAUGGAGGAUCUGCUAGUCUUGAUAUACCAUAUAAUUAUGACAAGAAAGAGAAGUUUAUGCCACUAAUUGCAAAGUCUAAGAAGGAUGGGCAGGAUCCGCCUUCCAAAGCCACUGAGCCACAAAUUGAUGCAGCGGCUACUGCAUCAAUUCUUCAAUUAAGCUACAAGGGGUAUUAAGAAUGCUGGUUUAGAAUUUUUCCCUAGGACAUCACCAAAUGGUAGGACAUCACCUCCCUAGCAUUGAGGGUGGGCUUACCUCAAGCUUUGGGAGUCUCCAGUUUUGGACUAGCACUAGAAUGCAGUAACUUUAUAUGAAAGGCAGAGAGGUGAGAGCUUAGUAUAUGUAUAUAGAAAGGAGACUAUACUAAUGAUCACUACAAGGAGAUGAUUCUGGGUUCAGCUCACUGAAAAGGAUAGAAAAAUCU